AUUAACUAAGAUGAAAAAGCACUUGUGGCACCGGGAUCUGAUUUAGCUCUAGAAACUGCAUAGAAAGGCCGGACAUGGAGGUAUGUGUCUAUAAUUCCAACACUGGACAAGCAGAGAGGAACAUCCCUGCGACUUACUGGCUAGCCAGCCUAGCUGAACUGGCUUUUGACAGAUACCGAGCUGGUGGCCACAGGUUCUGACAGUGUGGGGUGAAGACAGUAAGAGUCCCCUUCCAGCCAGACCAACAGGCAAUAAGGAUAAGAAGAACGGAGAGAAUACAUCCCUAGGAGAAGAGACGUCAAGAAGCCCAGGAGUCUUGGAGAUUUAGGGCCUCCUGCCUGAUGGAUAAGAUGGGAGUUUACUAUGCAGCUGUGGAUAGACUGGAAUUCCCUAUGGAGACCAGGCUGGCCUUGAACUCACAGGGAGCCACGUAUCUCUGCUUCCCAAGUGCUGGGAACAGAGGCACACACCGUCAUGUAGGUAAUAAUUUAUUUGAAAUCAGAAAAAGAGGGAAAUAAAGAAAAAAAUGCUGGAAUCAUGAC